rnacentral:pre_miRNA from 1 species
CGUGGCACGCCCUGGUUGGUGACCGACAGGCGCGUGCCACACACGCGCCGACAAGGCGCGUAACGUGGCAGGUUGGCUGCGUGUGGGACCCAGUGGCUCCGGAAGUGGGACGCGUGGCACGCCCUGGUUGGGCACCGACAGGCGCGUGCCACG